rnacentral:rRNA from 1 species
AAUGAACGCUGGCGGCAUGCCUAACACAUGCAAGUCGAACGAGACCUUCGGGACUAGUGGCGCACGGGUGCGUAACGCGUGGGAACCUGCCCUUAGGUUCGGAAUAACUCCCCGACAGGGGUGCUAAUACCGGAUAAUGUCUUCGGACCAAAGAUUUAUCGCCUUUGGAUGUGCCCGCGUUGGAUUAGCUAUUUGUUAGGGUAAAAGCAUACCAAGGCGAGGAUCCAUAGCUGGUCUGAGAGGAAGAUCAGCCACACUGGGACUGAGACACGGCCCAGACUCCUACGGGAGGCAGCAGUGGCGGAUAUUGGAAAAUGGGCGGAAGGCUGAACGAGCACUGCCGCGUGAGUGAUGAAGGCCUUAGGGUUGAAAAGCUCUUUUACCCGGGAUGAUAAUGACAGUACCGGGAGAAUAAGCUCCGGCUAACUCCGUG